AUGAGAUUUCUUUCUACGGAUAUGAAGGAUAGAAAUAUGCUAUUUGCUGCUAUUCCAUCUAUUUGUGCAUCAAGUCCGAAGAAGAUCUCAAUCUAUAAUGAAGAAAUGAUAGUAGCUCGUUGUUUUAUAGGCUUUCUCAUAUUCAGUCGGAAGAGUUUAGGUAAGACUUUCAAAGAAACUCUCGACGGGAGAAUCGAGUCUAUUCAGGAAGAAUUGCUGCAAUUCUUCAAUCCUAACGAAGUAAUUCCGGAGGAAUCCAAUGAACAACAGCGAUUACUUAGGAUCAGCUUGCGAAUUUGCAGCACCGUAGUAGAAUCAUUACCAAUGGCACGUUGUGCGCCUAAGUGCGAAAAGACAGUGCAAGCUUUGUUAUGCCGAAACCUAAAUAUAAAGUCAGCAACACUUCUAAAUUCCACUUCUUCCCGCCGCAUCCGUCUUCAGGACAAUAUAGUCACAGGUUUUCACUUUUCAGUGAGUGAAAGAUUUGUAUCCGGGUCUACGUUCAAAGCUUCUACCAUAGACCUAAUUCGAGAAGGCUUGAUAGUCCUAAGAAAGGUGAGGGUGGGGGUUCUAUUUAGGAAGAAUAAGAAGAAUCGCAUUCAUGUGUUCAUGCUAACAGAAGAGCGGAUCCAAUACACAUAA
rnacentral:rRNA from 1 species